rnacentral:piRNA from 1 species
UUCUUUGUACUGAUAUGAUGGUGU